rnacentral:rRNA from 1 species
UACGAAGGGGGCUAGCGUUGCUCGGAAUCACUGGGCGUAAAGGGUGCGUAGGCGGGUCUUUAAGUCAGGGGUGAAAUCCUGGAGCUCAACUCCAGAACUGCCUUUGAUACUGAAGAUCUUGAGUUCGGGAGAGGUGAGUGGAACUGCGAGUGUAGAGGUGAAAUUCGUAGAUAUUCGCAAGAACACCAGUGGCGAAGGCGGCUCACUGGCCCUAUACUGACGCUGAGGCACGAAAGCGUGGGGAGCAAACAGG